rnacentral:rRNA from 2 species
GGAGGAAAUUACAAAUGGAGAAUCGGAAACCGUCACGCGCAUAAUAACUUCGGCCGUAGGAUCGUUAUCAGGAAGAAGCAGGAAAUACGGAGGAAUCAGCAUCGGCUAGUCCGUCCAGCAAGGCGGUAAUACGGAGGAACAAGCGUUAUCCGUAAUCAUUGGGCUUAAAGCGUCCGCAGGUACUUUUCAAGUCUGCUGUCAAAGCCCGGGGCUCAACCCUGGAGAGGCAGUGGAAACUGAAGAGCAGAGUGCGGUAGGGGCAGAGGGAAUUCCCGGUGUAGCGGUGAAAUGCGUAGAUAUCGGGAAGAACACCAGUGGCGAAGGCGCUCUGCUGGACCGCAACUGACACUCAUGGACGAAAGCUAGGGGAGCGAACGGGAUUAGAUACCCCAGUAGUCCUAGCCGUAAACGAUGGACAGCUAGGUGUUGCGCGUAUCGACCCGUUCAGUGCCGUAGCCAACGCGUUAAGUUGCCGCCUGGGAGACCCGAACGGGUG